rnacentral:rRNA from 1 species
UACAGAGGUGGCAAGCGUUGUUCGGAAUUACUGGGCGUAAAGGGCGCGUAGGCGGCCUUCUAAGUCAGACGUGAAAUCCCCCGGCUUAACCUGGGAACUGCGUCUGAUACUGGGAGGCUAGAGUAUGGGAGAGGGAUGUAGAAUUCCAGGUGUAGCGGUGAAAUGCGUAGAUAUCUGGAGGAAUACCGGUGGCGAAGGCGGCAUCCUGGACCGACAUUGACGCUGAGGAGCGAAAGCUAGGGGAGCAAACGGG